GAUGAACGCUGGCGGCGUGCUUAACACAUGCAAGUCGAACGGAAAGGCUCCUGCUUGCAGGGGCACUCGAGUGGCGAACGGGUGAGUAACACGUGGGUGAUCUGCCCUGCAAUUCGGGAUAAGCCUGGGAAACUGGGUCUAAUACCGGAUAGGAUCAUCGUUCAGUGUUGGUGGUGGAAAGUUUUUUCGGUGUGGGAUGAGCUCGCGGCCUAUCAGCUUGUUGGUGAGGUAAUGGCCUACCAAGGCGUCGACGGGUAGCCGGCCUGAGAGGGUGUACGGCCACAAUGGUACUGAGGUACGGCCCAGACUCCUACGGAAGGCAACAGGGGAGAGUUUGGCGCAGUAAGCGCAAGCCUGAUACGGCGGCGCCGCGUGGGGAAUAACGGCCUUCGGGUUGUAAACACCUUUCGCCAGGGACGAAGCGAAAGUGACGGUACCUAGAUAGAAAGCACCGGCUAACUACGUG
rnacentral:rRNA from 1 species